rnacentral:rRNA from 1 species
GACGAACGCUGGCGGCGUGCUUAACACAUGCAAGUCGAACGAAGUGGCGAACGGGUGAGUAACGCGUAAUCAACCUGCCCUUCAGAGGGGGACAACAGUUGGAAACGACUGCUAAUACCGCAUACUGUAGGAGGGGAUUGCGUCUGUUUAUCUAGUUGGAGGGGUAACGACCAACCAAGGCGAUGAUCAGUAGCCUGGCGGAGAGGAUGAAGGGCAACAAUGGGACGGAGAAACGGACAAGACUCCUACGGGAGGCAGCAGUGGGGAAUCUGCCGCAAUGGACGAAAGUCUGACGGAGCAACGCCGCGGGAGUGAUGACGGCCUUCGGGUUGUAAAGCUCUGUUAAUCGGGACGCGGUACCGGAAUAGAAAGCCACGGCUAACUACGUGCCAGCAGCCGCGGUAAUAC